UACGUAGGGCGCAAGCGUUAUCCGGAAUUAUUGGGCGUAAAGAGCUCGUAGGCGGUUUGUCGCGUCUGCCGUGAAAGUCCGGGGCUCAACUCCGGAUCUGCGGUGGGUACGGGCAGACUAGAGUGAUGUAGGGGAGACUGGAAUUCCUGGUGUAGCGGUGAAAUGCGCAGAUAUCAGGAGGAACACCAAUGGCGAAGGCAGGUCUCUGGGCAUUAACUGACGCUGAGGAGCGAAAGCAUGGGGAGCGAACAGG
rnacentral:rRNA from 1 species